rnacentral:rRNA from 1 species
GAACGCUAGCGGCAGGCUUAAUACAUGCAAGUCGUGGGGCAGCAUGAGUAGCAAUACUUGGAUGGCGACCGGCAAACGGGUGAGGAACACGUACACAACCUUCCUUCAAGCGGGGAAUAGCCCAGAGAAAUUUGGAUUAAUACCCCAUAAUAUAUUUGAUAAGGCAUCUUAUUAAUAUUAAAGCUUCGGCACUUGAUGAUGGGUGUGCGGCUGAUUAGAUAGUUGGCGGGGUAACGGCCCACCAAGUCUACGAUCAGUAGCUGAUGUGAGAGCAUGAUCAGCCACACGGGCACUGAGACACGGGCCCGACUCCUACGGGAGGCAGCAGUAAGGAAUAUUGGACAAUGGACGAAAGUCUGAUCCAGCCAUGCCGCGUGAAGGAUUAAGGUCCUCUGGAUUGUAAACUUCUUUUAUAUGGGACGAAAAAAGGGCAUUCUUGUUCACUUGACGGUACCAUAUGAAUAAGCACCGGCUAACUCCGUG